CCCAUUCCCCACCACGACAUCACCAUCAUCAACGUCUUCAUCGCCAUCAUCUACUGUGAGGUUUCCUUCGAAUUUCGUCCCGCUUAGAUCGGCUCUAUUGUGCGCCACCAAAUUCAUCACCGUCACCACAAAUCAAACCCACAUAAAAACCAAAAAAUAAAAAUAAAACUCAAAAAAGAUCCCAUAAAAUUUUCCCAAUUCACGCCCUCUCAUGGCCUAAAACCCCAUCGAUUGCGUCAAUUAGCAACUCUUCUUUUG
rnacentral:lncRNA from 1 species